AGCAGCCGCGGUAAUUCCAGCUCCAAUAGCGUAUAUUAAAGUUGUUGCAGUUAAAAAGCUCGUAGUUGAAUUUUGGAUUCUUCCAAUUGGUCCAUCUUUUAGAUGAGUACUGGUUGUGUGGGGUCUAUCCGCCUGGUGAUACGUAAUGUCCUUUAUUGGAUGUUUCGGGUAUUCAGGACCUUUACCUUGAAAAAAUUAGAGUGUUUAAAGCAGGCUUAUGCCGGAAUACAUUAGCAUGGAAUAAUAGAAUAGGACGAAAUUGUUUUAUUUUGUUGGUUUCUAGGACAACCGUAAUGAUUAAUAGGGAUAGUUGGGGGCAUUAUUAUUCAAUUGUCAGAGGUGAAAUUCUUGGAUUUAUUGAAGACUAACUACUGCGAAAGCAUUUGCCAAGGAUGUUUUCAUUAAUCAAGAACGAAAGUUAGGGGAUCGAAGACGAUCAGAUACCGUCGUAGUCUUAACCAUAAACUAUGCCGACUAGGGAUCGGGCGAUGUUGUUUCCAUGACUCGCUCGGCACCUUAUG
rnacentral:rRNA from 1 species